AACUUCGCUCCGUUGUUAGGUGAUGGUGCGCUUAUUCAAGCAACCAUUGAAACUGGGAAACAGGUGCGCUUCGGCAAUGCCUGUGCUGCCCCCGCAACGGUAAGCAAGUGUGGGUUCAUCAACACGCCACUGUGGUCUACAAGACCAUGGGAAGGCGAUGAAUCAAGACUUGCGAGCCCGGAGACCGGCCUGACUUCGAUUCCACAA
rnacentral:ncRNA from 2 species